GGGAAUAUUGCGCAAUGGGGGCAACCCUGACGCAGCGACGCCGCGUGGAUGAUGAAGGCCUUCGGGUCGUAAAAUCCUGUCAGGUGGAAAGAAAUGCAUGGUGGUUAAUACCCAUCAUGUUUGACGGUACCACCGAAGGAAGCACCGGCUAACUCCGUGCC
rnacentral:rRNA from 1 species